GACGAACGCUGGCGGCGUGCUUAACACAUGCAAGUCGAACGGAAAGGCCCUGCUUUUGUGGGGUGCUCGAGUGCCGAACGGGUGAGUAACACGUGAGUAACCUGCCCUUGACUUUGGGAUAACUUCAGGAAACUGGGGCUAAUACCGGAUAGGAGCUCCUGCUGCAUGGUGGGGGUUGGUUAGUUUCGGCGGUUGGGGAUGGACUCGCGGCUUAUCAGCUUGUUGGUGGGGUAGUGGCUUACCAAGGCUUUGACGGGUAGCCGGCCUGAGAGGGUGACCGGCCACAUUGGGACUGAGAUACGGCCCAGACUCCAACGGGAGGCAGCAGUGGGAAAUAUUGCACAAUGGGCGGAAGCCUGAGGCGGCAACGCCGGGUGCGGGAUGACGGCCUUCGGGUGGUAAACCGCUUUCGCCGGUGACGAGGCGUUAGUGACGGUAAUUGGUAAAGAAGCACCGGCUAACUACGUG
rnacentral:rRNA from 1 species